rnacentral:rRNA from 1 species
UACGAAGGAUGCAAGCGUUAUCCGGAUUUAUUGGGUUUAAAGGGAGCGUAGGCGGCCUUAUAAGUCAGUGGUGAAAUCUCGUUGCUUAACAACGAACGUGCCAUGAUACUGUAGGGCUUGAGUACAGAUGCCGUUGGCGGAAUGUGUCAUGUAGCGGUGAAAUGCAUAGAUAUGACACAGAACACCGAUUGCGAAGGCAGCUGACGAAACUGUAACUGACGCUGAGGCUCGAAAGCGUGGGGAUCAAACAGGG